CCUGCCGGUCUGACAGCCUAAACAAAAGGCAGACCCUUAUGCGGUAGGAGCUGGGUGACAGCUGCUUUGGGCUGCGUGACAGAUCUCCGACUGACUCAUGAGAAGUCUGAAUUGCUGGCGAUCCGUCUCCGUUGAUUAGAAAUGCCGGACCUGAGCAGUGCCCAGUCAGUCCCCGAGCUAGACAAGCUCCUGUCCCUGCCCUUCAGGCAGACACAUGCUCUUUUUGCCCUCCUCUGAUGUUGGAGCGACCUCAGCGUGCGGCGCUGGGUGAAGAACAAGCUUUGCAAAGCCUUGAGGAGCCGGUUAAAAAUCACCAGUUUGCAUAUUCUGCCUGAGACCGUGCUGUUGGCUCUCGCAUGAGCACGUGCUGUCCAUCUGCAAACACAAACAACCAGCCUGAAAUGCAAAAGAUGAAAUCAUCUGACAUCGACCAGGAAUUAUUCACUGAAAGUUACUGCAAAGUAUGCAGCGCUCAGCUGAUCUCGGAGUCCCAGCGCGUGGCGCAUUACGAGAGUCGGAAACAUGCAAGCAAAGUUCGCCUCUAUUAUAUGCUUCAUCCCGUAGAUGGAGGCUGCCCAGCUAAAAAGCUCCGAUCAGAAAACAAACCACUCUGAGUUCCCUAAAGCAGCCCCACGCGGAAGGUUCCCCAGUGGUGUCCUCGCCCCAUCCGAGGAGGGACUCGGACAGGUACUGCCAGCUCUGCGCUGCCUGGUUCAAUAACCCCAUGAUGGCUCAGCAGCACUAUGAUGGCAAAAAGCACAAGAAGAACGCAGCUCGAGCUGACCUGCUCGAGCAGCUGGGGAAGACCCUGGACCUGGGCGAGCUGCGAGGUCUGAAGCGCAGUUACACUUGCAACACCUGCAAUGUCACGCUGAACUCAAUAGAGCAAUAUCAUGCUCAUCUGAAGGGCUCCAAACAUCAGACCAACCUGAAAAAUCAGUAGUAAUUCAUCAGUCCAAACAAGGAAAAGCACCAAGACUUCUGCAGAGAGGCACUGAUUAGCAAGAAGAAAGGAUACUUUCUUGGACAAUGAGCGUUUCCUGUGUGGAUUCGUUAAUUAACAUGUAACUAACCUUCGCUUUGGACAAAAACAUGGAUUUUCUUUUUUUAAUUUUGUGAUGCACAGACCUUCACCGCACCACAGCCACUUCCAGGGGCUCUCCACGGCUUUCAGGUUUGGGAGGUGAUUUUCUGUGCUCUGGUUUUGCUUUUACUGCACCACCUUCCUUCCCACAUGGCUCAGCAGGGAAACGGCCUGAAGGCAAAAGCCAGGACUGAAAGAAGAGAGAUGAAAAGAGAGACUGAAGAAAUGGGAAACAGAAGAAACAGUCCAGAGGAAAAGGCACAUCCCCACCAGCCUGCCUCUUCUAAUGGCUGUCGAGGUUCCCUGGCACGGAAGGGAGCUGGAGGAAAAGCUGGGUGGUGGUGCAGCGCUGGCGCCGCGGGGAAGACGGCAGCACCUUUAAGCCCAGUUCGGUCUUUGGCGGAGUGUUACUAAAUUUUAAACAUGCUCCCUUAAUCUGGGGUCACAGGACACAGACGAUAAAGGACAUUCUGGAGGAAGAACAAAGGAGUUUUGGGUUUUUUUUCCCCCCCUCUGUUCCACUCUGCCAGCAAAGCUGUCCUUGCUGUU